AAACACAACACCAGAGACAGGGAGCCCAAGAAAAACAAAGUACUGAGAAGAGAAAGAAAGAAAAGACUGGCCUUUGAAGCAAGCAAAACCAACCCAACCCCUCACCUCUUCUAUUUUUAUAUAUCUAUCAUCACCUCUUCAACAAGCCAAUUUAACCCUCCAUCAAUCUUUUCCUUCUUCAAUGGCCAUGGCGCCUUCACCUCCUUGCAUCCACAUUUUCUUCGCUUCUAUUCUUCUUCUCUCAAAUUUUCAUCUGGGGUUCUCUUCUUCCUCCUCUACAUUGCAAGAGAACCAUAGCAAUGGGUCUUAUUCAGGCCAAAUCAACUCAAACUCAGUUCUUGUAGCUCUUCUUGACUCACAUUAUACAGAACUGGCUGAACUUGUUGAAAAGGCACUUCUUUUACAAACCCUUGAAGAUGCUGUUGGUAAACACAACAUCACCAUCUUUGCUCCUAGAAAUGAAGCUCUCGAACGUGAUCUUGAUCCCGAGUUCAAGCGGUUCUUGCUUGAACCUGGCAAUCUCAAGUCUCUCCAGACUCUCCUACUUUAUCACAUUGUCCCCAACAGAAUCAAUCUCAGCCAUAACUCCUCUCUUCACCAUCACAGCACCUUGUGCCGCGAUAGAAUCAAGCUCGGCAGUCAAUCCGGCGAGAAGUUAAUAGACUCGGCGAAAAUCAUUCAAGUGAAUGCAGUGGAGAGGCCAGAUGGCGUAAUUCAUGGGAUUGAAAGGUUGCUAAUCCCACGAUCUGUUCAACAAGAUUUCAACAAUCGCAGGAGUUUGCAAUCAAUUUCAGCUGUGAAACCAGAAGGAGCACCAGAGGUUGAUCCAAGAACACAAAGGUUGAAGAAACCAGCACCACCAGCAAAACCCGGUUCAGCCCCGGUCCUACCAAUCUACGAUGCAAUGGCACCCGGCCCAUCUCUUGCCCCGGCUCCAGCUCCUGGUCCAGGUGGACCUCAUCACCAUUUCAAUGGAGAAAGACAAGUUAAAGAUUUCAUUGAAACCCUUCUUUUGUAUGGAGGAUACAAUGAAAUGGCUGAUAUUCUUGUGAAUUUAACAUCAUUAGCAACAGAAAUGGGAAGAUUAGUAUCUGAAGGUUAUGUGCUAACAGUUUUAGCCCCAAAUGAUGAAGCAAUGGCUAAGCUCACAACAGACCAAUUGAGUGAGCCAGGAGCACCGGAGCAGAUAAUCUAUUACCAUGUGAUACCCGAGUAUCAAACUGAAGAAAGCAUGUACAAUGCUGUUAGAAGAUUUGGGAAGAUUUCUUAUGAUACAUUAAGAUUGCCACACAAAGUUUUGGCACAAGAAGCUGAUGGGUCAGUGAAAUUUGGACAUGCUGAGAAUUCUGCUUAUUUGUUUGAUCCUGAUAUUUACACAGAUGGAAGAAUCUCUGUUCAAGGGAUUGAUGGGGUUCUGUUUCCAUUAGAGGAGAAGGAGAAAUCGGAUACCAAGACGGAAAUGAAGAGUGUUAAGGUUGCUGCUAAGCCGCAAAGGAGAGGGAAGUUGCUUGAAGUGGCUUGCAGGAUGCUCGGGACAUUUGGGCAAGAUUCACAUUUCACCACAUGCCAGUAAAUAAAGACUUCCUUGUAUGAAAAGGAAUACUUCAAAGAAGGAUAAAGGUGAAAUUCUUCGGUGAGCUGCUGAGAUCAUGUAAAGUCCUUGUAUCUGAUUUUUCUUCUCUACAAAUAGGUUCUAGUUUUUCACAUGGGAAGCCGACAACCAAAGGUGAAAAGGGAUUAUGGUGUGAUGAUGUUCUUAUUGUUUUUGUGUUACUCAAGUUCCAUGAUUGCACUGGAAGAAAAGGGUCAUUGUCCUUAGUUUUAGAGGCCCUUUGAACAGCACAAGAUAUUCUUCUCCCUUUUUUUUUUUAAUUUUUUUGUCCUUUUUGUGUGCCAAGUAUGGUGGUGGUGAGCUGUCUGGUGGUGGUUGGUGGAGAGGGGAAAACUAUGGAGGAGGUGAGGAGUAAGUAUUCCAUGUGGGCUUCCCACUACAAUAAAAGAAGUUAGGCGGAAAUAUGUGGGAAUAAUAAAAUAAAAGUAUUCUUUUGUGUUCAUGCACAAUUAGAGAAAGGAAAAUUGUAAUUAAUUUUUUGUGCAA